AUCUGUAUCACCACUUGUUUGGUGGAUUCUCUCCAUUGUUGUAGUGUUUUUGAUGUCUUACUUUACUGCAUUCAUGGAAGCCU
rnacentral:sRNA from 1 species